rnacentral:rRNA from 1 species
GACGAACGCUGGCGGCGUGCUUAACACAUGCAAGUCGAACGGAAAGGCCCUGCUUUUGUGGGGUGCUCGAGUGGCGAACGGGUGAGUAACACGUGAGUAACCUGCCCUUGACUUUGGGAUAACUUCAGGAAACUGGGGCUAAUACCGGAUAGGAGCUCCUGCUGCAUGGUGGGGGUUGGAAAGUUUCGGCGGUUGGGGAUGGACUCGCGGCUUAUCAGCUUGUUGGUGGGGUAGUGGCUUACCAAGGCUUUGACGGGUAGCCGGCCUGAGAGGGUGCCGGCCACAUUGGGACUGAGAUACGGCCCAGACUCCUACGGGAGGCAGCAGUGGGGAAUAUUGCACAAUGGGCGGAAGCCUGAUGCAGCAACGCCGCGUGCGGGAUGACGGCCUUCGGGUUGUAAACCGCUUUCGCCUGUGACGAAGCGUGAGUGACGGUAAUGGGUAAAGAAGCACCGGCUAACUACGUG